rnacentral:rRNA from 1 species
AGGUAUUGAAAUAAGGCUUUAAAUGAGUGCUAAGAGAAUGGUUUAACAAUUAUAAGCUUUCUUUAAUUUAAAAAUUAAAUUUAAUUUUUUUGUGAAGAAGCAAAAAUUUAAAUUAGGGACAAGAAGACCCUAUGAAUUUUAUAUUAAAUAAUAUAAUUUAAUUAAAUUAUAUUAUUUAAAUUAAUUGGGGUGAUUUAAAAAGAAUAUAUAUCUUUUUAAAAAGUUAAUUUGUUCCGUUUUUAACGAUUUUAUGAAAAAAAUACUCUAGGGAUAACAGCGUAAUAAUUUUGGAUAGUUCAUAUAGAUAAAAUAGUUUGCGACCUCGAUGUUGGAUUAGGAUUCUUUUUUAAUGAAGAAAUUAAAAAGAAGAAGUUUGUUCAACUUUUAAAUUCCUACUUGAUC